rfam:Glycine soja cultivar W05 scaffold702_18, whole genome shotgun sequence.
CUUUUAAUAGACGUUGAUCGUCAUGUGUUGCACAUUUAUUGGACGUUAAUUUCAUGCACCUAAUUAACAUUAACCUCCAAUAAAAUCGCAAUACGUGGCCGUCAACUUCC